GACGAACGCUGGCGGCGUGCUUAACACAUGCAAGUCGAACGGAAAGGCCCUGCUUUUGUGGGGUGCUCGAGUGGCGAACGGGUGAGUAACACGUGAGUAACCUGCCCUUGACUUUGGGAUAACUUCAGGAAACUGGGGCUAAUACCGGAUAGGAGCUCCUGCUGCAUGGUGGGGGUUGGAAAGUUUCGGUGGUUGGGGAUGGACUCGCGGCUUAUCAGCUUGUUGGUGGGGUAGUGGCUUACCAAGGCUUUGACGGGUAGCCGGCCUGAGAGGGUGACCGGCCACAGUGGGACUGAGAUACGGCCCAGACUCCGACGGGAGGCAGCAGUGGGGAAUAGUGCACAAUGGGCGGAAGCCUGAUGCAGCAACGCCGCGUGCGGGAUGACGGCCUGCGGGUUGUAAACCGCUUUCGCCUGUGACGAAGCGUGAGUGACGGUAAUGGGUAAAGAAGCACCGGCUAACUACGUG
rnacentral:rRNA from 1 species